rnacentral:lncRNA from 1 species
UCAAAUAAAAUUGUUAUACUUGAUGAGCUAGUUAUGCUCACCCUUGCUUGAAUCAUAUGAAUGCAACUAAUAAGGAACGGACCGAAGGAUCCAGUAAGGAUAAAGGAAAGGCUAAGGCGGACAAUUAGUUGUCUUUGUAACAGCAUAGUAUGAAUUUUGUUUUUAUUUGAUACUAUGACGAAGAACAUAUGUAAUGUUUACAAAGAACCUGGGAAGGGAAAUAUUAUUAUGUAAUAUAUAGAAGACCUAUUCACUCUUUUAAUGUAUUUCAAUGGAAUGUAUGUGUGAAGUAGCACCGUGUAGCACCAUCUGUCGGGUUGAAAGAUACCUGGAUUUGGGGGCGUCACAUCGACUCUAAUACUACUCCACCACGCCCGUGACAAACGUGGGAGUACAACCUUGCUCCUUAUGAACCCUUCACCUUGAAUAACUUUUCCAAAGUCAUCUUAAACUCGCUCUACCCGACUCAAAUCAUACUUCAAUGCGUUUGCAUGAGUGAUCAUCUUGUGCUCCAUUUGACUUAACUAUAUUUGCUCCACUACGCGGGCUGAGUAACGCGCGACCUAUGAAUGUUCCACCCUGAAGUGUUAACCUGCUACUUUGGCCCAUCGAACCAUGAGCUCUGAUACCACUUGUACUAGAAUUGCACGAUCCAUCCCCACAUCAAUUCAUCACACACAUGUGUAGACUAGCCCAAUAAGCAUGUUAGACUACCUUCCACCUUAAAUAAAAUUUCACUGUGUGGUGCCAACUCACUUUUGAUAUCCUAACAAUCUCCCCCUCAUAAGUGAGUUUCAUCACAUAAAGAUCUCCCCUCACUUGAACACACUUCUUUUCAAUCACCACAAACCAGUUCUUGGCUAACUAUUCUAGAUCCUUUGUCUCCAUCGAGAGUCAACUUCCAUCAAGAAUUGAACAUCUUCUCUUUAAUCAUCGCGGAUCACUAAUUCGCGGCUAACCACAUUCGAAACCAAUUCUUUGCUAACCCAUCAAAAAUUCAACUUCACCAUCGAGAGCACCUUAAGGGGAACACCAACCCUUCAUCAAGAAUUCACCACCAUCGUGUGUCUUAUAAAGAGGUUGUCCAAGAUUUUUUUUAAUUUCCAAACCACCAUCGCGUAUCUUUAGAAGAGGUUUAUUAGCCCGGGAUCAAACUUCUGUAACUAUUUUGGGCCCUUUGUCUCCAUCGAGAGUCAACUUCCAUCAAGAAUUGAACAUCUUCUCUUUAAUCAUCGCGGAUCACUAAUUCGCGGCUAACCACAUUCGAAACCAAUUCUUUGCUAACCCAUCAAAAAUUCAACUUCACCAUCGAGAGCACCUUAAGGGGAACACCAACCCUUCAUCAAGAAUUCACCACCAUCGUGUGUCUUAUAAAGAGGUUGUCCAAGAUUUUUUUUAAUUUCCAAACCACCAUCGCGUAUCUUUAGAAGAGGUUUAUUAGCCCGGGAUCAAACUUCUGUAACUAUUUUGGGCCCUUUGUCUCCAUCGAGAGUCAACUUCCAUCAAGAAUUGAACAUCUUCUCUUUAAUCAUCGCGGAUCACCAAUUCCCGUCUAACCACUCUCGAAACCAAUUCUUGGCUAACCCAUCAAAAAUUCAACAUCACCAUCUAGAGCACCUUAAGGGGAACACCAACCUUUCAUCAAGAAUUCACCAUCAUCGCGUGUCUUUUGAAGUUGUCCAAGAUUUUGUUAAUUUCCAAACCACCAUCACGUAUCUUUGGAAGAGGUUUACUAGCCCGGGAUCAAACUUCUGUAGCUUUGAUACCAGUUGUUGGUGAACCUCUUCUAAAGAUAGUGAUGGUGAACCUC